AUGAGUCCAGGGGCAUACGGCGGAGUAACGCGGAAAGAGCUGCCGCAAAGUGGGGACAACAUUCCGAAAUGACUGCUAAUACCGAUUGUUGUCAGAUUCCCGCAUGGGAGACUGAUUAACGAUGGCCUCUACUUGUAAGCUAUCGCUUUGCGAUGGGUCUGCGUCUGAUUAGCUAGUUGGUGGGGUAACGGCCUACCAAGGCGACGAUCAGUAGCCGGUCUGAGAGGAUGAACGGCCACAUUGGAACUGAGACACGGUCCAGACUCCUACGGGAGGCAGCAGUGGGGAAUCUUCCGCAAUGGGCGAAAGCCUGACGGAGCAACGCCGCGUGAGUGAAGAAGGGUUUCGGCUCGUAAAGCUCUGUUGACGGGGACGAAUGUGCGAGAUGCGAAUAGUUUCUUGCAAUGACGGUACCCGUCGAGGAAGCCACGGCUAACUACGUGCCAGCAGCCGCGGUAAUACGUAGGUGGCGAGCGUUGUCCGGAAUUAUUGGGCGUAAAGGGAGCGCAGGCGGGAAGGCAAGUCAGUCUUAAAAGUGCGGGGCUCAACCCCGUGAUGGGAUUGAAACUGUCUUUCUAGAGUGCAGGAGAGGAGAGCGGAAUUCCUAGUGUAGCGGUGAAAUGCGUAGAUGUUAGGAGGAACACCAGUGGCGAAUGCGGCUUUCUGGACUGUAACUGACGCUAAGGCUCGAAAGCGUGGGGAGCGAACAGGAUUAGAUACCCUGGUAGUCCACGCCGUAAACGAUGAGUGCUAGGUGUAGGAGGUAUC
rnacentral:rRNA from 1 species